rnacentral:lncRNA from 1 species
GGGACGUACCGAGCGUUGGUAGCUAGAUGAAUAACAUUUAUUUCCUUUAUUUCUUUGAGAAAGUAACUAGAUGAUUGGAUUGGAGUAAGUGGUAGCUAGGAUUUAUUUUGUAGAGCUAUUUAUCAUUUUUUUUCUUCCAGCACUGCACGGUUAUGUUUUCAUUCAUUUUGGAGAGUGCAUGUCUGGUGGUGUCCCGGCUUGGAGCGUUGUCACGGC